AGCUACAGGAGUGGAAGGCGCAGCCAAGCAGCCGCUGGUAUUUCUGUGUUGCAUAUGGGCUGGGGUCCCUCCUGUCCUUCUCUCCUACACGAUCCCAGAUCUGAUUUCUAAUGGUGUUGUAUUUCCUCCCUAAAUCAUUUUUCAAUAGUAUUUUUGUUCUUCUGUGGGAUACAGAAGAACUUUUUUUUCCUAUUGCAAUAAGGACAAGUAAACAAGUCAGAAGCCUCAGAAGACCUCAAGAGAGAAAUCACAGCCUUCAAUUCCUGGUCCCUUUCUGAAACCUCAGCUCUUGAUUCACUUAAUUUCAAGGAGAAUUGUUUUAUGACUACGCCAAGCUGACCCAAAGACCCCUGGGAAGCACGUGGCCCAUCAGAGGGAAGGGCUAGGCCCUGGGGCUGGAAAGGAUGCAGAGCCUGUUUUCAACAAUUACGUCUACAUUUUCCAAGAGAUUAAACCGAUUGGAAGCCAAGCAUUGGAGAAGAGAUCUUUUGUCUUCCUUGGCAACAUUUCUGAAAUCUACAGAUAGGGAUGAGGAAGUGAGGCACAUUUUUCAUCUGUUCCAACAAACUGCCAAUGGAAUGGCUGACAUGCCAUUUUAGUGUAUGUCAUCUCUCCCGUGUUCCGUCAUCACUGAGGGUCAGCUGGGCCCUGCCCUUGAAUACAGCACAGGGCUGGUGUCAUGGAGCCGGCCUUCCUUACACUAAUGAACCGCAGGAGCCUCCCCUUGUCCCUUGCCUGGGGGGAACUAAUGGCAUUGCAGGGCAAAGGCUCAGCAGGGACCCUGUAGAUAGAGGAUAGAUCGGCACCCAGGCGUCUUACAGGGUGGACCCCAUGCUGGCAGGGUGGGAAGCCAGAGAAAAGAGGCUUGGAAGAAGCAAAGGGAACUCUCAAGAGGGUGCAGAGAUGAACGUGGCUUGCACCUGGAGAAUUCCCAGCCAAUGUGAGCUUGACGCCCCUCUCCUUUCCACCAAUCAGAUGGCACUACCACCUCCUCCUAAUUCCUCUACCAAUGAAAACUAGGUUCCUUUACCUUAUCCACCAAUCAGGGCUUUGGACAAAGAAUAAUCUUAUCAAACCCCACAUGGAUUCACACGCAUCUGGUAGCUUGGUUGUUGGGUGCUCACUGGGUGGUUCCCCCAGUGCCCCGCUCCUACAGUGACUGCAGCCAGCAGCACCCAGGAGACGGAACCUCCCCGCCCAGCCCGGCGCCCGCCAGCCCUGGUGCCGUUUUUAUAGCAGCAUGCCUCUAGCAAUCAAGACACCUGGCACCUCGGAGGGCCGACUUCCAGAAGGAUUUGCCACAGGGCACCACAACAACUUCUCUGCCAUUCAGAGUCACAGCUGCACAGGUCUGGAUCUCCGCCUGGGGCCGGCGUGGGGGCUCUCUCAGUCCUGGGGCUGGUUCACUGGAGUUUUCUUUCUUUGUUACUAGCCAGCCCCUCAUGGCUGUAAUCCCUUGCUCUAGUAAAUAAUUCUUUAUAUUGAAUUUUCUCUGUUCAAAUUACUACGUGAUUUCUCUCUCCGGACUGGACUCAGACUGAUACAAGUAUGGACCCCCUAGAAGGAACAACAAAUGGAGCUGCCGUCUAUAUACACACGUCGAUUUAGGUCUCUGUCUCUGGCAACUGAAAAGAGACCCAACAAAACAUCUUACAGAGCACCAGGGCCAAUUCUUGAUGCGUCGUUAGAUUCUGUGUAGCCAGAAAGCAGAAACAGAAACAUAUCCAAGCCAGGCGGAGGAAAAACUUUGAGGCCUGUUUAUCCAGGUUCAAGACAAUUUCUAUUUAAAAAAAAAAAAAAGAAAAAAAGAGAGAAAAAAAAAGCUCAUAACAGAAUAAGUUCAGCUUCUCCUGAGUGUCAGAGCUAAGAUCUAACGCCUCUGCUGGUUUCCAUGACAACCACCAGCAGCUACAAUCAUGCCGAACCAAGAACCAGAGGAUUCAGUAACUUUACCUUGAUUCUGUGGCCAGAUUAUUGCCAAUUUUAAAAGGAAAUGCAUAGUGAGCCCCUGUCUCUGUUGUGUCUUCAGUUGUCCCUUGAAAUCUGGAUAUCUUGACAAGAGGCCAGGGCCUAUCCUAUCUCAUCUCCCCAAGCUAGUGUCCUUCCCAGAUGAAUUUCUUCUGGCGCUGGUGAGAUUACUUGGUGACCUAGUUCCGACUACACAAGUUAUGCUGUCGUGAUUGCUGGGGGUAAUUGCUCAAAAUAGCUCUCUGAUUUGUUUCAUAAACAGGCUCUGUGGCAGGCUCAUGUCGUUUUUUCCCCAAAGAAGAGAUUCCAGAGACGAGGCCUUCACUGAGAGCUUGCUCCUCUACCUCCUGUGGGUUUCAGGGCUGGGACGGGGGACACAGAGAAUCUGUCUCUCGCGAAUGCCAAGUUGAGGUCCUAGCCUGGCUAGGAACUCUUGCAUUCCCCUUGCCUCGCUGUAGCCUCCCCUGGGAACAGACCUUCCAGGAGGGUCGCACCGAGUGAUGAGACUGUUGCAUGAGGCUCUGCAGUGCUUGGACACAGAACUGCACUGCGGCCUUCCAGAUGCUCAGCUGGAAAACCCCUGAGAACCUGAGGCUUUUCUACAGCACAUUAGAGCUUAUGACUGGAGAGUGUCUACCGCCUGAGGGCAGGGAUGAGAUUUUACCUAUCCUAUUCACCUGCUUAGGUGCCCACUUCAUCC
rnacentral:lncRNA from 1 species